UGGCUCAGCCAGUAGCACACAACACGGAGAAAGCUAUAGCCGGGAAUACAGGGGGAACCUUUUUCAUUUCGAGUUCACGGUACCACGUGGGUUUGAGGCUUGUGUUGCAGGAAGGAAGCUUAAGCCUGGUUUCAAGUUAAUUUGUUUGUGAUCAGAUUAUUCGAACUCUGUACACACAGGCGGCCACCGUGCACAUACACGUGAUCACCGUAUACACACAGGUGGCCACCUGUGUGUACAUACAUGUGAUCAUCGUGUACACACAGGUGGCCACCUGUGUGUACAUACAUGUGAUCAUCGUGUACACACAGGUGGCCACCGUGUACACCCAGGUGGCCACCGUGUACACACAGGUGGCCAUUGUGUGCAUACAUGUGAUCACCGUAUACACACAGGUGGCCACCGUGUACACACAGGUGGCCACCGUAUACACACAUGUGGCCACCGUGUACACACAGGUGGCCACCGUGUACACACAGGUAAUCACCGUAUACACACAGGUGAUCACCGUAUACACACAGGUGGCCAUUGUGUACAUACAUGUGAUCACCGUGUACACACAGGUUGUCAUAGGGCUCAUAAUAAAGCGGGUUUUUUUUUCUUGUUAGAUGGCAUCAGUAAAAAAUCGUCAUUAACCCACCAACAACCGACACAGUAAAUUAGUAAGGUUUGUCACUUAAACACAACGUGCCAAUUAGUUACUACUUCAGCACACCGGUGUGUUGGAGAGUAAACCCACAACACUUACAAUUUGACUGCGACGUUUCACUGGUGAUUACAACCAGCAUCAACAGGCAAUUUGCCUGAAGAAGCUGGUUGUAUUGGUUCAAGGCAUGCAAACUCUUGACUCUGUCUUUUUUUUGUCUUCACUCAAUGCUGGCCAACUGCCGAUCUUGCAGUUCACCAGCAUUGAUUCAAGCAAUCCGAGCUCUCGCUCUUGGGACACUGCUUGUCGAAAUUAGUCCAGAGUUUGCUAUGACAUGGAUAAUUAACAUCAAAAUUAAAAAGAAAAUGGAUCAAAAGCAAGCAAAAUUGUGCAAUGAAGUGUGGCGAGAUGCACGCUUGGAAUUAGG